GGGCCUGUAGCUCAGUCGGUCAGAGCAGGCGACUCAUAAUCGCUUGGUCGGGGGUUCAAGUCCCUCCGGGCCUACCA
rnacentral:tRNA from 4 species